GACGAACGCUGGCGGCGUGCCUAAUACAUGCAAGUAGAACGCACAGGAUGCACCGUAGUUUACUACACCGUAUUCUGUGAGUUGCGAACGGGUGAGUAACGCGUAGGUAACCUGCCUGGUAGCGGGGGAUAACUAUUGGAAACGAUAGCUAAUACCGCAUAAGAACAUUUACUGCAUGGUAGAUGUUUAAAAGGUGCAAAUGCAUCACUACCAGAUGGACCUGCGUUGUAUUAGCUAGUAGGUGAGGUAACGGCUCACCUAGGCGACGAUACAUAGCCGACCUGAGAGGGUGAUCGGCCACACUGGGACUGAGACACGGCCCAGACUCCUACGGGAGGCAGCAGUAGGGAAUCUUCGGCAAUGGGGGGAACCCUGACCGAGCAACGCCGCGUGAGUGAAGAAGGUUUUCGGAUCGUAAAGCUCUGUUGUUAAGGAAGAACGAGUGUGAGAAUGGAAAGUUCAUACUGUG
rnacentral:rRNA from 1 species